rnacentral:rRNA from 1 species
AACGAACGCUGGCGGCAUGCCUAACACAUGCAAGUCGAACGAGACCUUCGGGUCUAGUGGCGGACGGGUGCGUAACGCGUGGGAACCUGCCCUUAGGUUCGGAAUAACUCACCGAAAGGGGUGCUAAUACCGGAUAAGCUCUUCGGACGAAAGAUUUAUCGCCUUUGGAUGGGCCCGCGUUGGAUUAGCUAGUUGGUUGGGUAAAAGCCUACCAAGGCGACGAUCCAUAGCUGGUCUGAGAGGAUGAUCAGCCACAUUGGGACUGAGACACGGCCCAAACUCCUACGGGAGGCAGCAGUGGGGAAUAUUGGACAAUGGGCGAAAGCCUGACGCAGCAAUGCCGCGUGAAUGAUGAAGGCCUUAGGGUUGUAAAGCUCUUUUACCCGGGAUGAUAAUGACGGUACCGGGAGAAUAAGCCCCGGCUAACUCCGUG